UACUGGAGAUUGAUCUCAGGACCUCGUGCAGGCUAAGCACGCGCUCCACCGCUGAGCUGCAUCCUCCCCCUGACCUGUUAAUUUUGGUGGAAAGCCAGGCUUGGAUGAAUUUUGGGGAAGUGAGGAGGGUCCAGAAAAGUCAGAAUGAUGCCUUGGGUACCUACAGUCACCCCAAUGACAACCUGUGUGGAGGCACAUACUUCGGACCCUUAAGGGCAAGAGCGCUCCUGUAAGAGCUGCAGGACCUCGACCCAGGUCACGAUGCAGUGCUGCCUCCGUCAGUGGGUACCAGACGUGGGAAAGCACACGCCACACUUGGGAGAGCAGCGCUCCUGUGCUAAGCUUGCUGAGCCGUUUGCGUCACCGGGAGCCCUGCACUGGAAAGUCAGUGAACAGGGACCCUCGGUGGUGGCCGGGACUCGCACCCUCCUCCGGGCAGACACAGCUGCGUGACAACAUCCCCCCAGGACCCGCCUUCCGCAGGAUUAGAGGGUGAGGCUGAAGGUGAUCGUGACCCCAAAUGGUGCUGCCUGAUAAGAUCCUGUAAAUAGGGCCCAGAUGAGCAGAAGUUAAAAUUGGAGAAUGGAGAAUUUCGCCACAGUUCUCUGAGAACAGGCCUGCCUGGCCCUGAGACAGGAGGGAAGAGGGAAGGGCACUGCCAUUCAAGAAAUAACACAGCAGUUAGCACCAAGAUGGCGUAAAACUCAAUUCCCACCAGGCCUGAGGCCCAGGACGGUGGGAGACUUGCCUUCCAGCGGCCUCAAUCGGCGCCCUGUGCUCCCUGUAGUGUGCUAACGCGUCAUAUGUCCCCGGUAGAAACUCAAGUGACGCAGGAGGACACAGCGGACAACGGAGCCCCUAUCCUCUGGUCCCCUCCCCAGCCUUUCUGCUCCGAGUCAACCUUGCAAGAUAUAGGAUUAAACUGUCUUUGCGUGCCUGGGGAGACCUUCCAUGCAUCAGCGGCAUUUUCAGUUCAGUCAUCCCUGCUUAUCCCCAGGUUCCCUUUCCCUGGUUUCAGCUACCUGAGGUCCACCUCAGUCUGAAAAUAUUAAGUGGGAAGUUCCAGAAAUAAGCCAUUCCUAAGUUUUAAGUCUCGUGCUGCUCUGAGUCACGUGAUAAAGUCCUGAGCCACCCACUCUGUCCCCUGGGAUCCCCAGCCGUGCACACCAUGUGCUCCCAACAUCCAGCUGUCAGCAUCCUCAGGGCCCCGCAGUCCAGGACCACCUGGAGCACAUGGUCCUCCC